GACUCUAUGGCGCGGCCGGGACGGGAGCGGCCGCGAAGGUCGGCCCGACGGGCGAGGGCGAAGUCGCGCGCUCGAUCCUGGCCGAGCGGGCGUCGC
rnacentral:tRNA from 1 species